rnacentral:rRNA from 1 species
CCUACGGGAGGCAGCAGUCGAGAAUCAUUCACAAUGGGGGAAACCCUGAUGGUGCGACGCCGCGUGGGGGAAUGAAGGUCUUCGGAUUGUAAACCCCUGUCAUGUGGGAGCAAAUUAAAAAGAUAGUACCACAAGAGGAAGAGACGGCUAACUCUGUGCCAGCAGCCGCGGUAAUACAGAGGUCUCAAGCGUUGUUCGGAAUCACUGGGCGUAAGGCGUGCGGAGGCUGUUUCGUAAGUCGUGUGUGAAAGGCGCGGGCUCAACCCGCGGACGGCACAUGAUACUGCGAGACUAGAGUAAUGGAGGGGGAACCGGUAUUCUCGGUGUAGCAGUGAAAUGCGUAGAUAUCGAGAGGAACACUCGUGGCGAAGGCGGGUUCCUGGACAUUAACUGACGCUGAGGCACGAAGGCCAGGGGAGCGAAAGGGAUUAGAUACCCGGGUAGUC